UGGGGAAUAUUGGGCAAUGGGCGCAAGCCUGACCCAGCAACGCCGCGUGAGGGAAGAAGGCUUUCGGGUUGUAAACCUCUGUCCUUGGUGACGAAACAAAUGACGGUAGCCAAGGAGGAAGCCCCGGCUAACUACGUGCCAGCAGCCGCGGUAAUACGUAGGGGGCGAGCGUUGUCCGGAAUUACUGGGCGUAAAGGGUGCGUAGGUGGCCUUUUAAGUUGGAUGUGAAAUACCCGGGCUUAACUUGGGGGGUGCAUCCAAAACUGGAAGGCUAGAGUGCAGGAGAGGAAAGCGGAGUUCCUAGUGUAGCGGUGAAAUGCGUAGAUAUUAGGAGGAACACCAGUGGCGAAGGCGGCUUUCUGGACUGUAACUGACACUGAGGCACGAAAGCGUGGGGAGCAAACAG
rnacentral:rRNA from 1 species